AGCGAACGCUGGCGGCAUGCUUAACACAUGCAAGUCGCACGAAGGUUUCGGCCUUAGUGGCGGACGGGUGAGUAACGCGUAGGAAUCUAUCCAUGGGUGGGGGAUAACACUGGGAAACUGGUGCUAAUACCGCAUGAUACCUGAGGGUCAAAGGCGCAAGUCGCCUGUGGAGGAGCCUGCGUUCGAUUAGCUAGUUGGUGGGGUAAAGGCCUACCAAGGCGAUGAUCGAUAGCUGGUUUGUGAGGAUGAUCAGCCACACUGGGGCUGAGACACGGCCCAGACUCCUACGGGAGGCAGCAGUGGGGAAUAUUGGACGAUGGGGGCAACCCUGAUCCAGCAAUGCCGCGUGUGUGAAGAAGGUCUUCGGAUUGUAAAGCACUUUCGACGGGGACGAUGAUGACGGUACCCGUAGAAGAAGCCCCGGCUAACUUCGUGCCAGCCGCCGCGGUAA
rnacentral:rRNA from 1 species